AAAAUGCUGAAACACCAAUUCAUAUCACAAAAUUGCAAACCCUUUUAACACCAACUCUUAUCACAAAAUUGCAAACCCAUUAACACCAACUCUUAUCACAAAAUUGCAAACCCAUUCAAACGGACACACCAACACUUUACGAUGUGAAUCGCAGUGUUUGUUCGAGUUAGUCGAUUGAGGUCGCUUACCAGUAGAUUUGAUAUUUAGCUCGGUUGAUUUCGUCUGCUUCUCUCCAGGUUGAGAUAUUACUGGGCAGCGUAUGCGUAUUGUGUGGAGAAUAAGCGGUAAAGGUGCACACACUCGCUUUGGUGAUCCGCCAGCUUAGGAUUUCCUUUCUGCUGUCUUGGAGAGCUCCGUCGUUUCGGAGCCCAGAUUUUGGUAUAGAUCCCUUUUGAUAUAUAUAUGUAUAUGUUGUCCAAGGGUACGACGGGGCCCUGUCCCGUCAUAUAUUACUGUUGAUACUCUUAGAGGUCUGUAGACAUGUAUGUGGGUUGUAUUUAGACGUGAUCAGUUGUGUGUAUGAUCAGUAUGCGUGUUCUAUCGUUGUAGCAGCCUUGCCAGCUUGCAUAUAUUGUCAUGUUGGGGUAGCAGCCUUGUCGGCUUGCUUGUGUUAUUGUUUCG